rnacentral:rRNA from 1 species
AGCAGCCGCGGUAAUUCCAGCUCCAAUAGCGUAUAUUAAAGUUGUUGCAGUUAAAAAGCUCGUAGUUGAAUUUUGGGUCUGGCCGGGCGGUCCGCCCUCUGGGUGAGCACUGUUCCGACGUCGGGCCUAUCCUUCUGGUGAAUCGGCAUGUCCUUUAUUGGGUGUGUCGGGGAACCAGGACCAUUACCUUGAAAAAUUAGAGUGUUCAAAGCAGGCGUAUGCUCGGAUACAUUAGCAUGGAAUAAUGAAAUAGGACGCGUGGUGCUAUUUUGUUGGUUUCUAGAACCGCCGUAAUGAUUAAUAGGGAUAGUUGGGGGCAUUAGUAUUCAAUUGUCAGAGGUGAAAUUCUUGGAUUUAUUGAAGACUAACUUCUGCGAAAGCAUUUGCCAAGGAUGUUUUCAUUAAUCAAGAACGAAAGUUAGGGGAUCGAAGACGAUCAGAUACCGUCGU